CAUACAUAUGUGAAAAAUAACGGAGGAUUUAAGCACCAAAAAGCGCAUGUGCCUGGCAGGAAAUCUAACUUAGCCACACAUCAGUGAUAUCACUUUUGGAGAGAGGUCCCAUGGCGUUUUUACAGCAGUAAGGAGCCGCUGAUGCCUUUUUUACUCGCUCUUCAAUACCUGGCUUCCACGACAAUUUUCCGUCCAAGAUCAUGCCCAAGAACUUGAUCCCGUUAAGGAGCAUAAUUGAAACGCUCGCUAUCAAGGAGAGCUGGGUAGGAGACACUUUAUACCCCGUGGUAAAUAGUACGAGCGCUAUCUUUCCAGAAUUUAUAGCAAGUCUGCAGCUCGUAUACCAUUAUGUGUGAAAUUUAAAUAGAAAACCAAAAAUCCAGCUUCACUUUUUCCUAGUGGGUACACUCAAAUAUAUGCCGAUAUCAAAAAUAUUUACGAGAUAAUAAGAUAUACAUAUAUUUCUGCGUUAUUUUCUGAAAUUCGCACUGCGUUCGCUGCGGUUUUAGGCUCCUGUUCCAUCUUAUGGCUCGCGGCUGAUGCUGAUUAACUUAAGCACUUUAGAAAAGAGAAGAAGAGUUCUUUCAUUAUCGUUCACUUAUAAUAUAAUUAGCGGCAUCAUUAACUGACCAAUUUUGCUUGAGCGGAUGAGCUUUAAUGUUCCUCAAAGAAGCCUAUGAAAUGUUUACUCCUUCUACUGGGAAAGCUUCAGAACUAAAUAUGCAAGUAACGCCCCGAUUUCUCGAGCACUUCGGGAAUUUAAUGCUGUUUCUAACUCACAUCAGCUAGACUUUUCUUUGUCUAAAUCGACUUUUAUUAAAGUUCUUAAUUUAAUCGCCUAUUUACUUUGCAUAUUAAU